rnacentral:rRNA from 1 species
GACGUAGGGGGCAAGCGUUGUCCGGAAUUAUUGGGCGUAAAGCGCUCGUAGGCGGAUCUGCAAGUCUGUGAAGAAAGACCCGGGCUCAACUCGGGGAACGGCAUAGAUACUGCGGAUCUUGAGACAAUCAGAGGGUGAUGGAAUUCCCGGUGUAGCGGUGAAAUGCGUAGAUAUCGGGAAGAACACCCGUGGCGAAGGCGGCACUCUGGGACGGUACUGACGCUGAGACGCGAAAGCGUGGGAAGCGAACAGG